UUUCCUGCCUGGUUUACUUUAUAAGAUCAAGUGUAGUAUCUGUUCUUAUCAGUUUAAUAUCUGAUACGUCCCCUAUCUGGGGACCAUAUAUUAAACGGAUUUUUGGAACAGGGAGAUGGAAGAAGAGCUUGCUCUGUCCACUCCACGCAUCGACCUGGUAUUGCAGUACCUCCAGGACCGGUGCACCUCUC
rnacentral:snRNA from 1 species